UCUGAUUUCUGUCCUUCCUCCACAUCCUGAACCAAGCACUAGGCUUUGUGGAAGUCAGUCACAAAGGGUUUUCACUGCAACGGGCUCAUUAACAGCACCUUGAAACAAGUCUGGAAAGCUUCCCACGCCAGCUACGUUCCUACUCGCACCAAACUCCAGGGGCAC